rnacentral:rRNA from 1 species
UACGUAGGGGGCAAGCGUUGUCCGGAUUUAUUGGGCGUAAAGAGCGUGUAGGCGGCCAUACAGGUCAGCUGUGAAACUCGAGGCUCAACCUCGAGACGUCGGUUGAAACCGUAUGGCUAGAGUCCGGAAGAGGAGAGUGGAAUUCCCGGUGUAGCGGUGAAAUGCGCAGAUAUCGGGAAGAACACCUAUGGCGAAGGCAGCUCUCUGGGACGGUACUGACGCUGAGACGCGAAAGCGUGGGGAGCAAACAGG